CGGAGUCACUCCGGUUCGGCUGCGGUGGGCUGGAGCUCCCUCCCUCCCGCGGGGCAAAGUCAGUUUAAUGCCCGAUUUCACCCCCAGAGGACAAGCCUGAGAGUCUCCAAAGGGGCUUUGAGGUCCCCAGAGCCAUGUGCAAGCACCAUGUUCCUGGCCGAGGACCCCUGGGGGCUGGUGGCCCUGGGACAGCGUCCCCCCCCACGUCCCCCCUGGUGAGCACCCCUGUCCCCCCCCGGUCCCCCGGGUCCCCUCCUGUC
rnacentral:lncRNA from 1 species